CCCUUAGAUGUCCUGGGCCGCACGCGCGCUACACUGAUGCAUGCAACGAGUUUAUAACCUUGGCCUGAAAGGUCUGGGUAAUCUUUUGAACGUGCAUCGUGAUAGGGAUAGAUUAUUGCAAUUGUUAAUCUUGAACGAGGAAUUCCUAGUAAACGCGAGUCAUCAGCUCGCAUUGAUUACGUCCCUGCCCUUUGUACACACCGCCCGUCGCACCUACCGAUUGAAUGGUUCGGUGAAGAUCUCGGACUUCGAUAUUUAUUCUUUAUUGAGUUUAUAUUGUGGGAAGUUAUCUAAACCUCAUCAUUUAGAGGAAGAUGAAGUCGUAACA
rnacentral:rRNA from 1 species